AAACUACUCUCGAAUUGUUUAAUGAAUCACUUCUCCGCAUGAGUAGCGGGGUAACGGUUGCGGUUGCGAAAUAGAGAAUUUUCGCGUCUGAUACGUCACUUGAUUCAGGUGGCAUAUCGUUCUUAAUGGACAUCUCAGUCCCGGACUUGCGCCACACUAUUUGCCGGCCUUUAAUGCCAAAAAUACAGAAUUUGCUCUCGUCGGAGAAAAUAAUUUGUUUCCAGAAUUCAGGAGGCUUAUUGAUGAAACAACUCUUCCAUGAAAUCCAACUCUAUGUGAUAUUUUUCUGGCAGUUUCGGCAUAGAUGCUUUUUCAAACAUUGUUUUAAUAUUUUCAACAAUUUUGGUUGAUGUUAUACGAGUGUUGUUGCUUGCCAUAUUAAUCACUUUGCGCUCUUCUCUAACGAAUAAUUUUUUUGGACGCCCAGGCCGAGGCUUUGAAAUUAUAAUGCCGGUUUCUUUGUAAUUAUUAACUACGCGCUGGACAGAAGA